ensembl:lncRNA
UAAAGAUGAUGGUGUCAUACAACCUUUCCAUACUCAUAUCUGCGUGAGCUUCAAUCAGAUUACAGGACAAAUCCAGUAGCGAUUGAUUGUAGGCCCUAAAAUGAUCCUUGACAUCAACAACAAAAUAAAGGGGAAUGUUUUCUCCUCCCUUGCAUGUUUUGCUGUAUUAAGUGAAUCUACACGGAACAUAUCCUCAUCUGUUAUUUGGUAGAAGCUCAUGCAAAUGUCAACAGACAGGUGGCAUUCAACCUUAUCUUCAAAAACCAUAAACAAAAUUAAAAAAACACUUCCUGCAAAUUCCUGCAUCUAUACAUCACCAUCAGAAGACAAAAUUCAUAAAAGCACUGACCGACUGCAGAUCAACCAGCGUCCAGUGAGGAGCAUCUCAGCUGAGCACGAAACCAAAGAGAAAAACCAUCAAGAUCAUUUAGUACACUUACAGGAGAACAAGAGAAGAAAUGAACAUUCACAUAAACCCACCAACAGUAGCGUAUAUUGGUCAAACUGGGGUCAGCGUUCAGCCCACUGUGUUCACACCAGCUGUCACUGCAGUGCCAGAUUACUUUUUCUACUCCAUCUUUACCACGGUUUUCUGCUGUUUACCUCUGGGCAUCGCUGCUCUCAUCCACUCAUGCUACACUCGAGAUGCUAACUUGGCUGGACAGCAAGAGUUAGCGAGGAGCAGCUCCAGAAUGGCGUUUAUCCUGAACAACGUCGCUCUCGGUAUCGGCCUCACAUCCAUCACACUCGGCAUUAUCGUUAGAGUUACAAUUCGUUGAACAACAUCUUUGGACAGACGUUGAAUUCUACUUCAAGUGCAUCUACUCGUACUGUAACCAAAUCAGUAACUUUGAAAUUACAAGAAAUUACAAAUAUUUUUCAGACCCUCUGAGGGAAUAAUCUAAUGUACGGCUGUGUUUUAUUGCUUCUUGUAGUUAAUGUUGGCAGAUUGAUCUGUCAAAUUAUCAGAAAUUAAACUGCUUUUGACUGUGCUGAUUUAAAAUGUUUUAUUUUUUAUUUUUUUAUUACACAUUCAAAUAAAGUGUUAAAAUUUGUUUAAAAUAAACA